rnacentral:rRNA from 1 species
UACGGAGGGUGCGAGCGUUGUUCGGAAUCACUGGGCGUAAAGCGCGCGUAGGCGGCCUUGUAAGUCCGGUGUGAAAGCCCGGGGCUUACCCCCGGAACUGCCCUGGAAACUGUGAGGCUAGAGUACCGGAGAGGAGGGAGGAAUUCCUGGUGUAGCGGUGAAAUGCGUAGAUAUCAGGAGGAACACCGGUGGCGAAGGCGGCCCUCUGGACGGAUACUGACGCUGAGACGCGAAAGCGUGGGGAGCAAACAGG